GGGCCGGGGCUGCAGUACCGCAGCCCCAGGCGGUGGAGACGCCCCGUUCCCUUGCUGCCCCGCGGGUCCUCCGCGCCGCCGGCCCCUGUGCGCUGGGCUCGCACCUCCGGCGUGCGAGAUCUGUGAGGAGCCCUUCUGAAGCGGUCUGAUCAGUUAAAUUGUUUUGAUCAACACUUGUAAUACGAAUUGUUUACAUGCUUGAGGGAAGCCAUCAAGUUUCGCCACCAUUGUGGAUAUGUUUUCCAUCAGUCUGAUUAACAGGUUUACAUAAAGCUGCACUAUUUUCUGCUCCUUCAUCCGAUCCAAUUCCUGCUUGUAUGAUGCCAUGGAGAGGAUAAGAACUAAGCAUCCUUUGUGAUCAAAGCGUUCGUGCUGCGGUGGUGAUAUGAGAACCUAAAUGGGACAGAACUAGAAGUGGAAAGAAGCCUAUUUCCAUCGACAUUCUGCGCCCACACUGCCAUUUCCAGAUCUGCUUCCAGGUUCAAAUUCCUGCUCCUCUUUAGAGAGCAUGAGGGAAAAAUUCUCAGGCUUGAGUGUGAAACCUGCCCAGCUGGUCGUAUCCUUCUCUCGGCAAAGCUGAGACAGGCCACAACUCACAGCAACAUUUGUCCUCAGCCAGUUGCCACUGCUGGGAGAAAAAAAAAGAAAAAAGAACAAGAAAAUAAGCUCUGUGUGAGAUCAAGAUUUCAAUGCAUUGCACACCAAAACAUUUGUUGCUAUUUACUUUUAAAAGUGCCCUUCUGAGGCAGCACGGCUAGAGCUGCCAUCUGUUCAGGGUUACGCUCUGGAACUCCUGGUUUCCCUGCAAACCUCCUGCCUCGUGCGCUGCUCCGUCUGCACGGAAAAGAGAGGUAGCAGGGGAUAAUGGGCUGGCUUUAGAGGAAAUAUAACUUUACAGCUGGAUCUGAAAUUCUGGCCUGGUUGUCAGGGAACCACGGAUAUGAGAGGUGUAAAAAGAUUCUUGAUAGUGAAGCUGACUCUACAGCGCUUUUUCUAAGAUGCCCUGGGUUGUUACAUGGUGGUUAAAACAGGAAAGAGUCAAGGCAGGAGUAUUGCUAGUCAUCUCCUCACUUUAUGAAGGCAACAGAGUAAUUUGGCCCACUACCUUUCAGUGCAGUAAAGCCCCCAUAAGUUUGUCACCCCUACAUUUUUCCUGCCUUUUCCUGAGCAGGAUCCCUCCAGGGAUUCUGGAGGGCGAUAAGGAGAGAGAAGUCUUUGGUUUUUUGAAGUCAGAGUGGAACCAGUUUAAUAAUAUGUAGUAGAGGGUAAAAGGGUAUGGAAAGAAUUCAUCUCAUCGCUUCCUCUCCCUCAUGGCUGGAUGGGCUCUCCCUGCCCUUCCUGGCAGACAGGUUUUACAGACCCCAUGCUCCCAUUAGCCUGAUGCGAUCAGAUUGCCUUCCUGAGAGAUAGCAGGGAUCCUUUCCCACCGUGGCAGGAAUGGGCAGCAAGAGAGCACUGGGCUCCUUAGUUCCCAGAUGUGUGCCGUGUCACCUCAGAAAGCCUCUGAGUCGCUGGGACCUCCUGGGGCUUCCUCACCUGCAAGAAGCAAUGGGGAUUCAGAUCUUUUUAGAGCACAGGUAGAAAACCCCCAGACCUGCAAUCCCCGAAGCAGCAGGAGUGUAAACGCAGCCUCAAGCCUGUUGCUCGGUCAGAUGUGCUGCGUCCUUCAAGGCUAGAGAUUCCUGAGACAGCAAGGAUCAUAUUUCAUUGCGGGAUGGUUUUCUUCUCUCUCCUCCAAAAUAGGUUUGUGCAAAAGGUCUAAAUGAAGUCUCUGGGCUCCCAUUUGGCAAGGAAGAGGAUCACCUCCUGUUGCCAGAGGUAUACUAAACACACGCUUUUCACUGCUCCAAGUGGCUGGGCGGAGCUGGAGAGCCUUGGUGACCAGCCACAAACCUGUUGGAGGUGCUGGCUCUGCGCAGAGCAUUUGCAUCCCUCCUUGGAUCUGCCUUAGGCUCUGAAGGCAAGAGAGGCUAAUUAUGAACAUGGCAGUCAUCACCUUUUCAGCUCUGACUCUCAUCUAGGGAUUUCUCUUGUCUCCUUAGCCCAUCCUGGCUCCAGCGUUAUGACCUGACAAACGGUUAAGCCAUGCAGCAGCUCUGCAAGCCUGUAGGUGGGUCUUUAUUUACCGGCUUUACAAAUCAACAACCUGACUUGUGCAGAGAGAAUAAAGCCUGGAGCCAGCCCUCACAGCAGGCUCCAACAGAUGGAUGUUACCUUGAGCAUGUGUCAGGGAACCUGAGAGCAGAUUACUGCCUGGUUCAAAGGGCCCUGAUUUUUCCAAAGCGGUCUUCUGAGGCCAGAUUUAUAAAUUUGCUCAGAGACAUUAAGAAAAGCAGUAUUUUUUACAUGUGUUCAGCAAACAAGAGCUCUUGUUGUGCCAUUGCAGUGCGGAUGUAGAAAAUUUGCUUCUUUGGGCCUAAUCUGGGGAGCUUUUGCACAUUUUUGGACAUUUGGGCUUGGUGACCUAGGGAAGCUCUGAGUAAUGCCAAAUGCAGUACUGCGGGGUGCUCUGCGUCCCCAGGAUGUGCUUUGGGUCCCCAACACACUUCCAGUAUGGAGGGUAAAUGGAUCUGCUUUUCUAGAUAGCCUCUUAGCUGGCUUGGUAAAUACAGCUAGAAAUAAGACUUAUAUGAUUCUUAUCUAUAUCCUUACACUUCCACUCCACAGAAAUUAUUUGCGUAGUUAGCAAAGGGCUGAGCCAAGUACAUGUCCAUUAAAGUCUUAAUGGCACCAUCACCGUUUAUAGCUGUGCUGCCACUUGGGGAUCUGUUUACGGUGCGGAUAACCCAGGCCUUGCAGUUUUCCAUCCCUCUUGGAGCAGCCUGGUGGGCCUAAGCACGCUCAGCUCCAGGACCUGGUGUUCAGCAGCAAGUCCAGGAGAGAGGUUUUGAUUCCGGAUGCUGGGGCACAGAGAAAUCAGUGUCCUCCUCCUGCUCGGUUCCUCGACUUUCAGUGGUAGGGAGCUGCUCUACAUUUGGUGUGUGUGGUACAGCUGCUGCGCUGGAGCUGUUGUGAUGGGCUCAUCCAGCUAUUUCACUUCAUCCACACACCAGAUUUUUGUCGGUGUAUCACUAAUCACUUUAUAUGAGCAUGAUGGAAGCAUAUGCAAGGUUGUGCAUAUAGAGAUUUUUGCACCCGUUUAACCAGGUUGGCUCAGAAAUGAAUUUCUGUUAACCCAGUGCAGGAUCUGUGAGAAAAUGGGAGUGGGGAGGAAGUAAUUCGCUCUUCUAGUGGCAAAGGCGGCUAUGCUGCAAGGUGCAAUAAUUUGGCAGAUCUAUCCUGGAACAAAAAUGCCUAUUAGAACUUCUCUCCUCUUUGAGGAAGAAAAUUUUUUCCCUGUGUGUGUGGAUGUCGAUAAGAUCUGGAUUGAAUGUGCCACGGUGCUCCUGCACAUAAUGCCACCAAUAAAGCAGCUUGCUUGAAUUCAUCUUUGCAGCAGCAUAAUGUGCCUCUAGAGCCCAGAGCAUCUUCUCCUUGAGUGUAGGGAGCUCUCUGCACUGAAACCUUGCCGGCAUGCAGGAAGGGGCUGGGCACAGCACAGGGACUGAAAAAGGCUGAACAGUGUACUCGCAUCAAAUGGAGAUGAAAUAAAUAAUGAAUUGAUACCUCUUCUAGCAUGAGUAUUCAGUAUUGCAGGCCCUCUUAAUGGCUGCAAGGAUGCUGGCUGUAUGCAGAGUUUAAAUUAAGAGCCACCUUGUCAGCAGUGGUCUGGGAAGGCACUGGCCAGUUUUUUCUCAGACUACUCACAUCAGGCAGUGGAGCCAGUAGCAAACCGUGUCACAAGGAAUGUGAAAUAGUGGCAGCUUCCCAGUCCGUUCAGUUAGGGCUGGAUUUCCCACCUCUUUUCCCUCCUUCCCCAAACCCACGUUACUGCUACUCCUUUUUGAGAAUUAAAGUAUGUCAGAUUCUGGCUUCUGUCAGGUCGUGGCGUUGUCAAACCAGACUUGCUGGCGAGAUGCUGUGCCGCGGCCCAGGAGAGUUUCAGGGAAUCUGCUUUCUAAGGUUAUGAAAUCAAGGCUGAGAUUUUAAUAGAGAAUUAAUCUUUUCAAAUUGCCCUUUAGCCUGUGCAGUUCUGACAAGCUCGAUAUUAAUAUUUUAAGUGGAUUUUAUAAGCUCGCUAGAAAAAGCAGUGGUGGACGAGGGGGCAGAGAUGGCCUUCCCCUUGCUGGGUAACAGCGCUCUUUAACCCUUUGGGCCCAGCACACGGGCACAGAGGGAGCGGGAGUGGCUUGUUGCUGAAGACUAAGCUUAUAUUUUAGAGCUGCAUGGGAAAUGUGACACGAGCCUGGUCUUUCCUAUGUCACGUUUGCACUGUCGGGCUGGGUCUGCACAUCCGGAAAGGCCAGAUGUGGUCCUGCCUUUCCAACGUGACUGCUCUCUUGAGCUCAAAUCCAACAACUCCGUGGGCAGGGAUCAAACACUUCAUAAAAGAGCUGCGGUGCUGUUACUUACACUUGGUCUCUAAUCAAAAGACACAAAUCAUGGACAGCUCUUGCUGACAGGACGCACAGGAUGACGAAUCUCUUCCUAUUUACUGCUGGCAAGGCGCAGGAGGUGUUUUUGAUUUUUGGAUGUGCAAUUGUGUUCCUUAGUUGUCAGGCUGUGUUUAAUUAUUUAAUUAGUCAUGCAAAUUUAGCCUGAAUUUUUGUACAUCUAAAUCAUUACUCCAGCAAUUAAAACG